rnacentral:rRNA from 1 species
GCUGGCGGCGUGCCUAAUACAUGCAAGUCGAGCGGACAGAUGGGAGCUUGCUCCCUGAUGUUAGCGGCGGACGGGUGAGUAACACGUGGGUAACCUGCCUGUAAGACUGGGAUAACUCCGGGAAACCGGGGCUAAUACCGGAUGGUUGUUUGAACCGCAUGGUUCAAACAUAAAAGGUGGCUUCGGCUACCACUUACAGAUGGACCCGCGGCGCAUUAGCUAGUUGGUGAGGUAACGGCUCACCAAGGCGACGAUGCGUAGCCGACCUGAGAGGGUGAUCGGCCACACUGGGACUGAGACACGGCCCAGACUCCUACGGGAGGCAGCAGUAGGGAAUCUUCCGCAAUGGACGAAAGUCUGACGGAGCAACGCCGCGUGAGUGAUGAAGGUUUUCGGAUCGUAAAGCUCUGUUGUUAGGGAAGAACAAGUACCGUUCGAAUAGGGCGGUACCUUGACGGUACCUAACCAGAAAGCCACGGCUAACUACGUGCCAGCAGCCGCGGUAAUACGUAGGUGGCAAGCGUUGUCCGGAAUUAUUGGCCGUAAAGGGCUCGCAGGCGGUUUCUUAAGUCUGAUGUGAAAGCCCCCGGCUCAACCGGGGAGGGUCAUUGG